AGCCAUGCAUGUCCAAGUAUAAGCAACCUAUACCGUGAAACUGCGAAUGGCUCAUUAAAUCAGUUAUCGUUUAUUUGAUAGUACCUUGCUACAUGGAUAACCGUGGUAAUUCUAGAGCUAAUACAUGCUGAAGGCCCCGACUCCGGGAGGGGUGUGUUUAUUAGACGAAAAACCAACGCCCUUCGGGGCUUGCUGGUGAAUCAUGAUAACCGCACGAAUCGCAUGGCCUUGCGCCGGCGAUGGUUCAUUCAAAUUUCUGCCCUAUCAACUUUCGAUGGUUUGGUCUUGGCUAACCAUGGUCG
rnacentral:rRNA from 1 species